rnacentral:rRNA from 1 species
AACGAACGCUGGCGGCAGGCUUAACACAUGCAAGUCGAGCGCCCCGCAAGGGGAGCGGCAGACGGGUGAGUAACGCGUGGGAACGUACCCUUUGCUACGGAAUAGCUCCGGGAAACUGGAAUUAAUACCGUAUGUGCCCUACGGGGGAAGGAUUUAUCGGCAAAGGAUCGGCCCGCGUUGGAUUAGCUAGUUGGUGGGGUAAUGGCCUACCAAGGCGACGAUCCAUAGCUGGUCUGAGAGGAUGAUCAGCCACAUUGGGACUGAGACACGGCCCAAACUCCUACGGGAGGCAGCAGUGGGGAAUAUUGGACAAUGGGCGCAAGCCUGAUCCAGCCAUGCCGCGUGAGUGAUGAAGGCCUUAGGGUUGUAAAGCUCUUUCACCGGAGAAGAUAAUGACGGUAUCCAGAGAAGAAGCCCCGGCUAACUUCGUGCCAGCCGCCGCCGUAAUAC